CGAUACCUAGUGUGAAUUGCAGAAUUCCGUGAAUCAUCGAGUUUUUGAACGCAAGUUGCGCCCGAGGCUCGUCUGAGGGCAUGCCUGCCUGAGCGUCCGC
rnacentral:rRNA from 1 species